rnacentral:rRNA from 1 species
AAUGAACGCUGGCGGCAGGCCUAACACAUGCAAGUCGAACGAGUGGCGGACGGGUGAGUACUGUCUGGGAAACUUCCUGAUGGAGGAGGAUAACUACUGGAAACGGUAGCUAAUACCGCAUACUAUCAUCUGUGCCCAGAUGGGAUUAGCUAGUAGGUGGGGUAACGGCUCACCUAGGCGACGAACCCUAGCUGGUCUGGGAGGAUGACCAGCCACACUGGGACUGAGACACGGUCCAGACUCCUACGGGAGGCAGCAGUGGGGAAUAUUGCGCAAUGGGCGCAAGCCUGAUGCAGCCAUGCCGCGUGUAUGAAGAAGGCUUUCGGAGUGUAAAGUACUUUCGGCGGAGAGGCGUUAUCCGCAGAGAAAGCAACGGCUAACUCCGUGCCAGCAGCCGCGGUAAUAC